rnacentral:rRNA from 1 species
CAAGUCGAGUGGGUUUAGACCCACGGCAGACGGCUGCGUAACACGUUGGAACCUGCCCCGAACUCAGGGAUAACCCCGCGAAAGCGGGGCUAAUACCGGAUGGUCCCGAAAGGGUAAAGAUUUUUCGGUUCGGGAGGGGCCUGCGGCCUAUCAGCUAGUUGGUGAGGUAACGGCUCACCAAGGCAAUGGCGGGUAGCUGGUUUGAGAGAACGACCAGCCAGAAUGGAACUGCGACACGGUCCAU